GGAGAGGAGCAAGAGAAAGGUAAAAAGGAAGUUUGUGAAAUGUUGAAUGUUCUUGAUAAUGAGCUAAAGGGUAAAAAGUUCUUUGUGGGUGACAAAUUUGGAUAUGCUGAUAUGGCUGCGAAUUUUGUUGGAUAUUGGCUAGGAGUUUUUCAAGAAGCCUCUGGAGUUGUAUUAGUAACGAGUGAAAAAUUUUCAAAUUUUUGUGUUUGGAGAGACGAAUAUGUUAAUUGCAGUCAAGUCAAGGAGUAUCUACCUCCAAGAAAUGAUUUGCUUGCUUUUGUCGAAGCUCGGACUCAAGCUUCAGCUUCUAAAGCAUAAAUACCUCCUCGUUCAUCUUAUGAAGUUUCGAAUUAUGUAUUGCAAUAAACUUAUAA
rnacentral:misc_RNA from 1 species